rnacentral:lncRNA from 1 species
GGAAGUGGUGGAGGAUCAGUGCCCCAUAGAUUUGGGUUCGAAUUCUUUUCUGUGGAGCUUCUGAAAGAAUAUAAACAGCGACACAAAGAAUCAACAACGGUUCAUUAGAUAACUGUAUGUCUCACGGUUUGGUCACAGAAAGAGAAGGAUGAGCUCGAAGAGUUGUUCUUCUUCUUCUUCUUCUCCGCUGGCGAUGUUUCUGACGUCAGCUUGGAGAUUUUAACUCCGCCAUUUAAUCUCUUCCUCAAUAAUAAAUUCUCACUAUAUUCUUUCAAACAAGAUGUACGUGAAAACAAGAUAAAGAUGCACAAGGAAGACCAUAUAUAGCACAAGAACAACGAUGGCCUGUGAGAGGCUUGUCUGCCGGCAUGGUGUCGGUGCUGGUCGAGACAUUUCUCCACGCGUGAUAUGAUGGGAGGUCCGUGGCAAGUGGUCUUGGGAAAGUAUGCAUAUUAUAUACGUUGCAGGUGGAGGCAAGUGUGCACAUGUUUGACGUGAGGAUUUCAUGCAGCCAUGGAAAGCAAGUACCCGUGAGCUCUGAGCUCAUCCGUGACUUCAGCACCAACUUCCUUUGGUGGUGAAGGAAGAAGCGAGAAGAAAGAAAAGAGAGACUGAGAGAGAGAGAGAGAGAGAGAGAGAGGGGGGUGGAAGAGGGCGAUAAAAGAAAAAGGGAAAGAAGGAUGGAAGAAAGAUUGGCAAGUUGAUCGUAGAUGCUUGUGAGGCAGAGAGGAAGUGAUGGAAUAAAAUGGAUAUUAUGUUGACUAAAAAGUCAACUGAAAAAAAGCCAAUAAAAUUAUUAGGGAGAGAGAACUCGUAGAUAAGAACUUGUUGAAGUUCCAGUGGAAUGUCUUAUGCUUUGAAGCCUCUUAUUUGUAAUUGUACGGUAAAAUGAUUAUUGUAAUCAAUCAAUUCAAUACAAUUUGAGGGUCAUAACACUGUAUUGGGUGUAGCCAACAUUGACGUCGAUGUACUCAUUGCCGACAUUAAAAGAAAUUGAUUUGGUUCCAACGCGGACAAUCGACACGAUUGUCAACGUGGACAUGUACGUGUCAAUCCAAUUGUCAUUCUCAAUACUCACAAAUGAAUUGACCAAAUGCAUUGUGACCGUUUAAAAUAAAAUAAAAUAAUAAUAAUAAUAAUAAUAAUAAUAAUAAUAAUAAUAAUAAUCAAACUCUCAUUUUUGUCCAUCUGAAAAAAUAAAACAAUCUACAUUAAAAAUUGUUUUGUUGCGUGAGACGAAUUAAGUCACGACAUCAUGAUUGUAUGCUUUGAGGUACACUAAGAUUCUCUCUCUCUCUCUCUCUCUCUCUCUCUCUCUUAUUGUUUGAUUUGGAAUUAUGUGAUGGAGUCGUAAUCAGGGAAAUGAUCUUCCUACAUGUACGAGUGGGAUAUCAAACAAAUUGACCGAAAUAUUCUUCUAUUAUCUAUCUAUAAAAAAAUCACCUUCCUUCAUGAUAUACAUUAAAUGACAAAAUGAUGGAGCCGUAGUGAGGUGGCUCACCUUUUUGGUGUUCCCUCGUUAAACACGUGCGUCCAUUCCCCAAAAAUAUCUUCCGCGAAGCAUCCAUGCUCGCUUUGCCUUUACACUCUGAUCAAUCUUCAUAAAGCUCCCAACACACAUCUAAUACAUGAAGCGAACACAUGAUUUAGGUUAGGUUGAUGAGUAACUUAGAAUAAUAAAUAACACUCCUUAUAAAUAUUCACAAUAAACCUCUCCAUGUUAAAGUUUAUGUUCCACUUAUCCGAAAAGUUUAUGUCCGAUAGAUUCGAGAGUAAAAGGUUAAAUUACUUUUGAUUAUUAUUUUUAUGUUACAGUAUCUAGAUGUGAUGUGAGCAUAAAAGAAGGUCAAAUUAUCUACAGUAGCAUCACUUAGCCUUGUCUCAUAAUUAAAUUAAAUUAAAAGAAUAUCAAAGAAUAUUUUAUUUUCUUUAUAUUUAAUAUUAUUAUUCUUUAUUUUAUAUAUUUACUAAUUUAAUCAUAAGAAAAAAAUGAGCAUCAAAGAGAUCUUGUGAAGAUAUUUAGAGUAUUUAGAAUGUUUGACCCAACUAAAUGCUUUUGAACCCUAAGAUGAAACUUCACCACGGUUGACUGGUCUCUUACAACCAAUCCAACGAAGAGAGAUACGAAUCCUGCAGUCUAAGAACCAAAACAGGACACCCAAGUUAAGAAGGACAAAGAGAGAGAGAGAGAGAGAGAGAGAGAGAGA